rnacentral:rRNA from 1 species
UGGCGGCGUGCCUAACACAUGCAAGUCGAGCGAUUACUUCGGUAAGAGCGGCGGACGGGUGAGUAACGCGUGGGUAACCUAGCCUACAUACACAUGGAUAACAUACCGAAGGUAUGCUAAUACAGGAUAAUAUAAGAGAUUCACAUGGAUUUUUUAUCAAAGCUCCGGCGGUAUGAGAUGGACCCGCGUCUGAUUAGCUAGUUGGUAAGGUAAUGGCUUACCAAGGCGACGAUCAGUAGCCGACCUGAGAGGGUGAUCGGCCACAUUGGAACUGAGACACGGUCCAAACUCCUACGGGAGGCAGCAGUGGGGAAUAUUGCACAAUGGGCGAAAGCCUGAUGCAGCAACGCCGCGUGAGUGAUGAAGGCCUUCGGGUCGUAAAACUCUGUCCUCAAGGAAGAUAAUGACGGUACUUGAGGAGGAAGCCCCGGCUAACUACGUGCCAGCCGCCGC